AGCCUGAAUCAGUGUGUGUGUUAGUGGAAGCGUCUGGAAAGGCGUGCGAUACAGGGUGACAGCCCCGUACACAAAAAUGCACAUAUUGUGAGCUUGAUGAGUAGGGCGGGACACGUGGUAUCCUGUCUGAAUAUGGGGGGACCAUCCUCCAAGGCUAAAUACUCCUGACUGACCGAUAGUGAACCAGUACCGUGAGGGAAAGGCGAAAAGAACCCCGGCGAGGGGAGUGAAAAAGAACCUGAAACCGUGUACGUACAAGCAGUGGGAGCACGCUUAGGCGUGUGACUGCGUACCUUUUGUAUAAUGGGUCAGCGACUUAUAUUCUGUAGCAAGGUUAACCGAAUAGGGGAGCCGAAGGGAAACCGAGUCUUAACUGGGCGUUAAGUUGCAGGGUAUAGACCCGAAACCCGGUGAUCUAGCCAUGGGCAGGUUGAAGGUUGGGUAACACUAACUGGAGGACCGAACCGACUAAUGUUGAAAAAUUAGCGGAUGACUUGUGGCUGGGGGUGAAAGGCCAAUCAAACCGGGAGAUAGCUGGUUCUCCCCGAAAGCUAUUUAGGUAGCGCCUCGUGAAUUCAUCUCCGGGGGUAGAGCACUGUUUCGGCAAGGGGGUCAUCCCGACUUACCGACCCGAUGCAAACUGCGAAUACCGGAGAAUGUUAUCACGGGAGACACACGGCGGGUGCUAACGUCCGUCGUGAAGAGGGAAACAAC
rnacentral:rRNA from 1 species